rnacentral:pre_miRNA from 1 species
CUUGUACUCCCUCCGUGUCAAAAAAAUUGUCUCAAACUUGUUCCUCAAAUGAAUGUAUCUAGCACUAACUUGAUGUUAGAUACAUUCAUUUGAGGGACAAAUUUUUUCGGACGGACGGAGUACUAU